rnacentral:tRNA from 1 species
AAUCCGUCGAAUUUAAAAAUCGUGAGGGUUCAAGUCCC